UGCGUGGUUGAUGUCCUCCUCCUUUGGUGGGGAACAUAUGUCCACAGCAGCUGUGCCACCGUGAAUAGGCAGUGAUUGUGUGUGAGCUAACUGCAUUCCUGGGAGCCAGGCCAAGUCUGAGUGGAACCAAAGAUGCUGAAGAGGUGAUCCUGAGACAUAUUUUAGAUCUCCAUCCCAUGAGGAACAAGGUCAACAGAAGAGCUCUGAAUGGGAUGGUGAUCCCAAAAUAACAAUCCCAAGCACCAACAACGCCCCCCCCUCUUAAACAACACAAUCAAACAAUCAAAGCCCUACUGCCUUUCCCUCAUUGUUUAAUUUCUGCUGGCUAUCUUAGAUAUCUCUGUGGCUGUUCUUAUCUUUGACCUUCAGCUUGUUGCUUUGUCGUCGCCCCCUCCCUCCACCCACCUACCUGCUCCCACCCCCACGCCAGUGUGCUGCGACCUUCAGAGGGGUGUCAUUACUCCCUGACCCAUUUGACGAUCCCCUCAUGUGGAAUGUGCAUAUGCCGAAUCGCUGCGGAUCUGCACAGUAUGGGGUGAGGUGAAGUACUUACAGAAAUAUGACUUGACACGCUUUAUCAAAUGGGGAAAGAUGAAGACGAAACAGCUGCUGGUGCUGUCGUAAGCAAUCUGGCCGUGAUUGAAUAAAAGUGUCAGGAAAAGGGCCGCUUGAUGGUCUUUUGUUCUCCCCCAUCCAGCUUGAUGUUAGUUUGAGCUGUCAGGAGGGAAUCACAGCUGGGUGAUUUAUCAAUACUUGGAGUGACCUUGCAGCCACACUGCUGUGUCUGUGCGUGUGUGUGUAUGUGUUUGUGCACAAGCUCGUAUCUGUGUGGCUCUCGUGGAUUAAAAAGACACAAAGUGGAAUAUUUUCAAAAUAGUUGGCACACAUAGACAAAGACUUGGCUUGACUUGGAACAAAACUCUCUCUUCUCUUAGACACAGUAAGUGGAUUGUUCUGCCAACACGAUAAGGGUAUUUUUCUCAACAUCAGAGCACUCAAAGUACCACCAGCAAAUGUUUGGGAGAUGUGUGUCUCUUUUAACUAACGCUGCUUUUGAACAUGUUUUUUUCCUAAAUCUCUUUACUAUUUUUUCCUAACCUGUCCACUCUGUUUCUUCACCUCAGUACUUUCUUUGAGAUGCACUUGGACAGCCUGUUUUCAUAGCAGCCAUUGACUGUCUCUGUUGUGAUUAAGCAGAUGUUUUAUUGCAGACUGGAACAGUCAUUACUGCCAUAAACCCAUCUGUGGAAUUGCUUUUUAUGCAAAUUUACAAAGCAUCUGCAUAAAUAAAGUUCUAAUUAAUACCUUUCUGCAAA